rnacentral:rRNA from 1 species
GACGAACGCUGGUCGGCGUGGAUUAGGCAUGCAAGUCGAACGGUAUGGACCUUUCGGGGUUCAGAGAGUGGCGAACGGGUGAGUAACACGUAGGUAAUCUACCCUCAAGACGGGGACAACCCAGGGAAACUUGGGCUAAUACCGGAUGUGUGUAGUGGCUAUUUUUCUGAUUAUCAUUAUUUACGUAAGUGAGUAAUAAUAAGAAGGGAAAGUGGUUAUUACAUAAAAGGUGGCGUAAGCUGCCGCUUGGGGAUGAGCCUGCGUCCUAUUAGUUAGUUGGUGAGGUAACGGCUUACCAAGGCGAUGAUAGGUAGGCGGCCUUAACGGGUGGUCGCCCACACUGGGAUUGAGAUACGGCCCAGACCUCCUACGGGAGGCAGCAGUCGAGAAUAGUCUACAAUGGACGGAAGUCUGAUAGUGCGACGCCGCGUGAACGAAGAAUCCCUUCGGGGUGUAAAGUUCUUUUAUACGUGAGCAGUGUCCUUUAUAUUAAUAGUAUAAGGGGAGAGAUAUUAGCGUAUGAAUAAGCAAC